GAGUUUGAUCAUGGCUCAGAUUGAACGCUGGCGGCAUGCCUUACACAUGCAAGUCGAACGGCAGCAUGAUCUAGCCUGCUAGAUUGAUGGCGAGUGGCGAACGGGUGAGUAAUACAUCGGAACGUGCCCUGUAGUGGGGAUAGCUAGUCGAAAGAUUAGCCAAUACCGCAUACGACCUGAGGGUGAAAGUGGGGGACCGCAAGGCCUCAUGCUAUAGGAGCGGCCGAUGUCUGAUUAGCUAGUUGGUGGGGUAAAGGCCCACCAAGGCGACGAUCAGUAGCUGGUCUGAGAGGACGAUCAGCCACACUGGGACUGAGACACGGCCCAGACUCCUACGGGAGGCAGCAGUGGGGAAUUUGGACAAUGGGCGAAAGCCUGAUCCAGCAAUGCCGCGUGUGUGAG
rnacentral:rRNA from 1 species